UACGUAGGGGGCUAGCGUUGUCCGGAAUCAUUGGGCGUAAAGAGCGUGUAGGCGGCCCGGUAAGUCCGCUGUAAAAGUCAAAGGCUCAACCUUUGAAUGUCAGUGGAUACUGCCGGGCUAGAAUCCGGAAGAGGCGAGUGGAACUCCUGGUGUAGCGGUGGAAUGCGCAGAUAUCAGGAGGAACACCAAUGGCGAAGGCAGCUCGCUGGGACGGUACUGACGCUGAGACGCGAAAGCGUGGGGAGCAAACAGG
rnacentral:rRNA from 1 species